rnacentral:misc_RNA from 1 species
CUCGGCUGUGUUGGCCCGGUCUCUUCUCUCUCUUCUCUGUGUAUCUCUCGCGUUGUACACACCCGCGCGAUCCGGUUCCGUCGAGAGCGACCGCGUCUGCCGUUGCCGCUGCUGCUUCUGUUAGCUGCCACACGGCUCUCUGUGUGCGCAUCGACUCUCUCUCCUCUCUGUGUGUUGGUCGGGUUACCUGCGAUUAUGAGCGAUCGUGCGUGCGCCAGUGGACCGGCCGCAGCUCGGAACGAGCGCCCGAGCUACGCGGCUCCGAUUUGGCUUGCAAAGAGGUGGUUUGGCUGUUUCGAUGAACCAGAGCGCAGGAAGUUCCUGGUGCAAACAGACCAAGUUUCCGUACGAGGGAGCAACUUUGACUGAUAUCGAAACGAUAUCGGGUAAAUUCGACUAUACCGAGAUACUUGCAACAUACUGUUACCUGUAAGAGGAAAAUUCAAGCAAGGACGAAUAUUUUAAUAACUAAUAUUUCGAUCAUUUCACUUCGAAAUGGAGUGCUACGAAUAUAUUUUCCAGUCCAUGAAUUAAAAAUUCCUUUUACUAAUCUAUUAC